AAGUAGGAUGAGCUUUUGUUCAUCUCGCUACCAGGUGAUGAGCUUUGCACACCAGACAGACUUGGUACCAUCACUCCUAACAGCUUUUAGUUAUGGGUGCUUUCUGAGCCCAACAUGAACGCCAGCAGGAUGCAGGCUCAAAUUCUGCAUCUCAGCAACCAAGAUGUAUGGCUAAUAAAUCCUGAUUGCAGACAAAGAGCGCUUAAGAUCAGGAAUCUUGGCCCACAGGAUGAACCGAGAAGUGGAAGACAGAGAUGGUGGCUGAAGUCUGCCAAGAUUCAGAGGAGUUCAGCAGCGUGCCAGAUCCUUGCUGGAUUUGAGCAUAUCAGCCUGAUUUGGUGUCUAGCUUCUUUGGAUGGCACAGUGAACUGCCUGGAUCUCUAACAUUUAUGUGAAGACCAUUUCCCUGGACUGCAAUGUGAGCCCAAUUCUUUGUCUCUGCUGGAAGCCAUCCUAAGAGCUGUGCUUCCUCCUCCACCCAUAUCCUGCCUUUACAUACCUCUGUGCGCAGAUGAUGGAGGAAUGCUGUGUGAGCCAGCCAGCCUGCAGGCUGAGUCAGCCUGGGAAGGAGAGGUCAAUCGUAGUGGAAUGCUGUGCAAGGCGAUGCAGAUAAUGGAUGCAAAAUUGGAGGACAACAGUCCCUGGGCUCAUGCCCAGAAAAGUGGAUAUUCACACAAAAGAACACCCUGAAAGAACACCUGCAAUGAGAGGCUUUGCUCAUCACCAGUCUCAUUGAUUUUCUAAGGUUACUUUUCAGCGGCCUUGGGAAUGGCUUAUGGGACUGCAGCACUCAGCUCAUCCUCCAUCCCCACAGCCUUACAGGGAGCAGGAUAGAUGGUUGCAUCUGGGAUCGCAGCUAGGUAGUAGACUGUUUCACCUUGAGCACUGGCAUAAAACAAGGCCGUACUUGUCUUCUGUUGCUGUUUUGCAUUAUCGUACAUAGCUAAUGUGUAGGCAGCAGAAGCAGCAGCAUACCAUGGGUGGAUUACACAUAUCUUGGAAGCAUAAACUGUGCUAGUAACAUUGCGUUACUGAGCUGCAGACCUGAAAAAAGCUGUGAAGAAACAUAACCUAGCAAAAAAAAAAAGUAAACCAAGCAGGAUUCAAAAUCAGCUAUCAAAGCAAACAUUCCUGAAAGCUUACUACUAAGCAUCAAAGCCAUGCUAGAAAACACAAAUUCCAGGAAAGUAGAACAGCUUGCCUGCCUUGUCCAUAUCCUGCUCCUGAAUAAUUAGGAAGGAACCGACAGCAAGGCUAGGAAAGUCUUCUGCCAUUUACCUCAUUUCAACAGGGGAAAUAAAAUACACUGAGACCCAGAAUAAAACCAAGACUUUUAAUAUUAUUAUUUGCAUAUAAUUGCAAUGCUGAAAUAGACCUUCAAAGGUGGAGACAUCAAUAGAUGCUAGAAAAAUAAUAUCCUUGAAAGAAAAAAUGCCUAUGAGAAAGUCUGAAUAUCGAUCUCUGUCAUUAGCACAGGAGUCAAACAGCCCACCAGCUCAUUUUUAAGAGCCAGCAGUGAGAACAGGAUGUAUUUGGUGUCCACUCUGUAAAUGGCAGUCCCCAGGAAUCCCCCCUAAUAGGAUCAAGUGGAGAUCAAUGUAUGAAGAGGACACUUGUGAGAGAUCCUACAAAGACCCGCUUCACAGGAAUGACAGUGAUCAAUCUCAACCAUGUCCAUUAGAAACACCAACGAGUGAUGGAGAAGAAUGGAAGACAUGAGCUUCCACUGUAUAUUCCAGUCUUACAGAAGAAAGAAGACAGUAAGAAUAAGCUGAGGGUACCAGAAAAACAAAUAUAU